UACGUAGGGGGCUAGCGUUGUCCGGAAUCAUUGGGCGUAAAGCGCGUGUAGGCGGUUCGGUAAGUCCGCUGUGAAAGUCGGGGGCUCAACCCUCGAAUGCCGGUGGAUACUGUCGGACUAGAGUACGGAAGAGGCGAGUGGAAUUCCUGGUGUAGCGGUGAAAUGCGCAGAUAUCGGGAGGAACACCAAUUGCGAAGGCAGCUCGCUGGGACGUUACUGACGCUGAGGCGCGAAAGCGUGGGGAGCGAACAGG
rnacentral:rRNA from 1 species